rnacentral:lncRNA from 12 species
AUGGUAAUUACUUCCUCACUUAAUGGCAUUUUGGUUAUGAAAGCUUUCAUAGGAACAUUCUACUUUCAGAUAGAGAAAACUUUCAGCAGUUGCCAAGAUAUACUCCAAAGGAGAGAGAGUCCCUCCUGGAAUGGAAUUCUCAGCAAGUUGAAUAUUGUGAGAAUAACAGUGAAGAGAAGAAGAUUCCAGGCUCCAAUUGUGGUCCUACAGAACUUACCCCAGGUGCCACAUGGAGUGCUCCAAUAAGAGAUGAAAUGAUUUUAGGAGUCCAGUAUCUUGGAACAGAGGCCCAAAGGGACUACACCUUCAGGCAUCGCCAAGAACUGCAGGUACCAAGGUGAAGCCCUGAAUCUAGGUUGGCAUUUGGUUUUAUUAUCAUAGAAUGUUAAGUAUGUGGAAAUAAGGAAGGAAGAAAGAAACCAAUCAUGUGAGGGGCAACAGGGAAAUGCAUAU